GGGGGGGAUCAGAGGGGGCUGGUCUGGCAGUCUAUUGCCCACUCUAUGACAUUCCUUGUGUCCACCUCUGGUGAUGGCUAUCUAGAUGUUUUAUGGUCUAAGCCUGGUGCCAGAUCAAAGACCACAAUAAAUGUCAUCCCAAGGUUUACAAAAAAAAAACAACUCUUAACAUAUAUAAAAACACACAUCAAACACCAACUCAUGCUUUUGGCAUGACACCUCCCCCUUAAGAUGGUGGACAGAAAAAUUCAGCCACAGGCUGAUUUAUCUGUCUACCAUUAACCCUCUAGUUGCCGAGACAGGCCAUCUGCAUUCCCAUGCAAGCUGCCCUUUUUGUGCCGGGCAGUGAAAUUAUACUGUUGGAGGAUAGGGCUCCAAUGGAGCAGUUUAUCAU